rnacentral:lncRNA from 1 species
UUUGUGCUAGAGAUCACAGUGUCAGCUGAUUCUGUUAAAUGGUACAGGGAAAGUAGUACUAGAAACCUCAGCUCUUUUCAUGACAGAUGGACUUACUAUUUCCUAACCAUCUUAAAUAAGCAUGCCCCUUUCAAAAAAUGUAGAACUAAGAACAGAUAUAGCCCUUGGUUCACUCCAGACCUGACUGCCCUUGAACAGCACAAAAACGUCCUGUGGCGGACUGCAAUAGCAUCGAAUAGUUCCCGCGAUAUGCAACUAUUCAGGGAAGUCAGGAACCAAUACACACAGUCCAAACAGAAAUUUGCAUCCUUUAGCUCUAACUCCAAAAAGUUUUGGGACACUGUAAAGUCCAUGGAGAACAAGAACACCUCCUCCCAGCCGCCCACUGCACUGAGUGUAGGCAACACGGUCACCACCGAUAUAUCCAUGAUAAUCGAAAAUGUCAAUAAUAAUUUCUCUAUGGCUGGCAAUGCUUUCCUCCUGGCUACCCAAACCCCGGCCAACAGCUCCGCACCCCCCGCAGCUACUUGCCCGAGCCUCCCCAGCUUCUCCUUCACCCAAAUCCAGAUCGCAGAUGUUCUGAAAGAGCUGCAAAACCUGGACCCGUACAAAUCAGCUGGGCUAGACAAUCUGGACCCUCUCUUUCUAAAAUUAUCCGCCGCCACUGUUGCAACCCCUAUUACCAGUUUGUUCAACCUCUCUUUCGUUUUGUCCGAGAUCCCUAAAGAUUGGAAAGCUGCCGCAGUCAUCCCCCUCUUCAAAGGGGGUGACACUCUAGACCCAAACUGUUAUAGACCUAUAUCCAUCCUGCCCUGCCUUUAUAAAGUCUUUGAAAGCCAAGUUAAUCAACAGAUCACGGACUAUUUUGAAUCCCAUCAUACCUUCUCCUCUGUGCAAUCCGUUUUCCGAGCUGGUCAUGGGUGCACCUCAGCCACGCUCAAGGUACUAAACGAUAUCAUAACCGCCGUCAAUAAAAGACAGUACUGUGCGAGCCAUCUUCAUCGACCUGGCCAAAGCUUUCGACUCUGCCAAUCACCGCAUUCUUAUCGGCAGACUAAAUAGCCUAAGCUUCUCAAAUGACAGCCUCGCCUGGUUCACCAACUACUUCGAAGACAGAGUUCAGUGUGUCAAAUCGGAGGGCCUAUUGUCCGGACCUCUGGCAGUCUUUAUGGGGGUACCACAGGGUUCAAUUCU